rnacentral:sRNA from 2 species
AAAAGAAAGUAAUUAAAGCGAGGAAAGGAGCGGAGGAACCUUAAAUUGGGGCGAACCUAUUAUAGGAGAGUAUCUCUCAACUCUAGCCCGUCAGCUAACUUCGUCAGCUUUGAGAGGAAAU